rnacentral:misc_RNA from 1 species
CGCGUCGUUGCCGAAGCAGGUGGUGGGUAAAUAUGGGGGGCUAUACUGGGCAGCUGUGCCGACGUCACCGUGAGAAGAAGAGAGAAACUGUGAGAUUAUCAAUAAGAAGAGGAAGAGAGAUGACCAUGGGAGGAGACGAGCUGGGGUUGUUAAAGACAUGUUUGGGUUUUUUUUUAAAAAAAAAAAUAACAAAAAAUGAAGGCCGAACUGAAUGAUCUAAGAGACGGC